GCGGCAGGUGCGCGGUCUCCUUUCUUUCAGCGGUUCGCCCGCGGUCAGACUUGCCCCGGUCCCAGCGCAGCAGAGGCCUGAGCGCCCGGGCGGGCCACCGCAGCACAGGGAACCCGGACGCGAAGCCGCAGAAGGGCACAGGCGAUGCCCAGCACCGAGGCGGCGGGGACGCGACGCGGAGGCACAAAGAGGGCGGCGGUGGCCGGGAGCCGGGCGAGACGAAGGCACGUUGGACCUCAGAGCCUCGGUCUCCUCCUUCCUGCGGCUCAGGGAGACCCUGCCGCGGGGGCAGGAGGGGCCCAGCACGUGUGCUGUGGGGCGGCCGCCUCCGGCUUCUGACCAGCCACCGCCUGCUUUUGGCAGGUCCGUGCUUCAUAGGGAAGCCUUUUACUUCCUGCUCACCUGAAUAGUGAAGUUGCUAUUUCCUGACAGGCUCUUAAAAGGGAACAGUCAUGUCUGUCCUAACUCGUCUCAAGAAAGACCUGCUCUAUCCAUUUCUCCCAAGUAUCUUCUCUACAUCCAGGGUCACGCCUGGCCAAUAAAUUCCUUUCUUGCACUGUUCGCUAAGCCAUCAUUCCUUUGUCAUCUCAUGGAAUUAAAAAUAACAAGACAAACCAUCUAUUCUAGGACUGCUCUGACACAAAUGCCACAAAUGGUCACUCCUGUUUACUGACGCGACCAAACCUGAUAUGUGCUAUUAGAAAAUUAAUAAAUAAUGAAAUAGAACAUUAGGGCUAAUUCGCACCUGGUUUCAUGGCCCCAUCAAAACUGUGUAGCUUGGAGAUAGUGAAGAUGAGAAAGAAGACCAAGGGCACGCGAGACCAACGGGUACCUGUUCUCAGCAGAAUGAGGGUUGUCAGCUCUGCAAGAAGGAACAGAUGUUUUUCACUUUUACUGCCUUUCAAAUGUAUGGAGAAAAGUCAAGUGAAGAGAGAUCUCCGUGGCACAGCCUAAAUUGACCAAGAGACAAAGGAGAACUUAUUGAUGAUAGAGACUCAUAAAAUGUGAGAAAUUAUUUUCCUUUAAUAUAUAAUAUUUGUUCUCAGAAUAAGCUUAUGAAGUGCUUAGUAUGUUUCAUCGCAAGAAACCAAUCAUUAGUUCAAUUUUUA